CACCUUUGACAUGUACGGAAUUUGCCAGAGAUGGCUUAGUGCUCGAAAGAGAACCGUAACACAGGUGCUGCAUGGCUGUCGUCAGCUCGUGUCGUGAGAUGUUGGGUUAAGUCCCGCAACGAGCGCAACCCUUGUCAUUAGUUGCUACAUUUAGUUGGGCACUCUAAUGAGACUGCCGGUGACAAACCGGAGGAAGGUGGGGAUGACGUCAAGUCCUCAUGGCCCUUAUAGGUGGGGCUA
rnacentral:rRNA from 1 species